UGGAGUACCUGGGCGUCGAUCUCAGUAACUCUCGCAUGCUAAGCAAGCGCUCUACCAUUUGAGCUAGUGCCAC
rnacentral:tRNA from 11 species